rnacentral:rRNA from 1 species
AUUGAACGCUGGCGGCAUGCUUUACACAUGCAAGUCGAACGGCAGCGCGGGCUUCGGCCUGGCGGCGAGUGGCGAACGGGUGAGUAAUACAUCGGAACGUGCCCAGUAGUGGGGGAUAGCUCGGCGAAAGCCGGAUUAAUACCGCAUACGACCUGAGGGUGAAAGCGGGGGAUCUUCGGACCUCGCGCUAUUGGAGCGGCCGAUGGCAGAUUAGCUAGUUGGUGGGGUAAAGGCCUACCAAGGCGACGAUCUGUAGAUGGUCUGAGAGGACGACCGGCCACACUGGGACUGAGACACGGCCCAGACUCCUACGGGAGGCAGCAGUGGGGAAUUUUGGACAAUGGGCGAAAGCCUGAUCCAGCAAUGCCGCGUGUGUGAUGAAGGCCUUCGGGUUGUAAAGCACUUUUGGCGGGAACGAAAAGGACUGUGCCAAUACCACGGUUCGAUGACGGUACCCGCAGAAUAAGCACCGGCUAACUACGUG